AUUGAACGCUGGCGGCAGGCUUAACACAUGCAAGUCGAGCGAGCGGCGGACGGGUGAGUAAUGUCUGGGAAACUGCCUGAUGGAGGGGGAUAACUACUGGAAACGGUAGCUAAUACCUCAUACCAUCAGAUGUGCCCAGAUGGGAUUAGCUAGUUGGUGGGGUAAUGGCUCACCUAGGCGACGGUCCCUAACUGGUCUGAGAGGAUGACCAGCCAACUUGGACCGGGGAACCGGUCCAGACUCCUACGGGAGGAGGCAGUGGGGAAUAUUGGAAAAUGGGCGAAAGCCUAAUGCAGAAAUGCGGGUUAUGUGAAGAAGGCCUUCGGGUUGUAAGGCACUUUCAGAGAGGAGGCGUUACUCGCAGAAGAAGCACCGGCUAACUCCGUGCCAGCAGCCGCGGUAAUUC
rnacentral:rRNA from 1 species